GAUGGUGGCUCAAUAGUAGAGCGCACGCCUAGCACAUGUGAGGCCCAGGGUUCGAUCCUUAGCACAACA
rnacentral:tRNA from 1 species